GGCCCGGAGGGCGAGCGAGCGCCUCCUAAGCGCUAGGCCGCAGGUUCGACUCCUGCUCGGGGCGCCA
rnacentral:tRNA from 1 species